ensembl:snRNA U6atac minor spliceosomal RNA
GUGUUGUAUGAAAGGAGAGAAGGUUAGCAUUCCCCUUAAUAAGGAUGUAAGAGGCCCUUGAGCCUUAUGACAUGCGUACAGUUAAGGCUUUGUCACCUACUUUGUGGCAUCUGACCACAGUUUUUU